GCGGAGGGCCGGAUGGCCGCGGGGCAGCAAUGUUCCGAGGAAAGUCCGGACUCCCUGAGGCAACGGUGCCGGGUAACGCCCGGGCAGGGCAACCUGACGGAAAGCGCCACAGAAAACAGACCGCCUGUCAUACCGGAGGUACGCCAAAGGAAAUUAUGACGGGUAAGGGUGAAACGGUGCGGUAAGAGCGCACCGGGGGCGUGGCAACACGCGCCGCAUGGCAAGCCCCACCGGGAGCAAUGCCGAAUAGGGACCUCGGGCGGGUUGAUCGGGCAACCGACAUCACCGCAGGGCUGCUUCAGCCCAGAGGUCCGGGUUGGCAGCUAAAGGCGUCUGGCAACAGGCGCCGUAGAGGAAUGGUCAUCGAACCCAGGGUUUCGGCCCCGGGGGAACAGAAUCCGGCUUACAGGCCCUCCGCGCAA
rnacentral:RNase_P_RNA from 2 species